rnacentral:lncRNA from 10 species
GGGACCAUGCGUCCAAAUGCUGCUUUGCCUUUCAGGGAGGUGGGAUGGCCCAUUGGAAUUCAAAUCCUAAAUCCUGGACAUCUUAGCUUGAAGAAAUGGAAGUUCCUGAGCAUCUCUGUACCUCAGUUUCCUCCUCUGCAAAAUGGAGAUAAUAACAGCAGCACUUUAGGAGUGAGGUCGACUUCCCCCAGGGUGGAAAAUGGCUUCUGACAGACCUGGGCCUGGCAUCCCACGAUUCCCACCACCACAGAGGAACUCCCCAGGAGUGACUUGGACUGGCAUAGGUUGGGCCGGCUGUCGGCCCUGGCCAGGAAGCCUGAGUGCAUCUAGUAUGCAGCCUGCGCCAGGUACCCCUCCCCGGACCUGUGUGCCCAGGAUGCCAUGUGCUGGAGCCUGGCAGGGGAGGGAGAAGGGAGUGGAGUGACCCCAGCCCCACCCCACUGUCCCACUGCAGGGCAGUGGAUUCCCGGCCUCUUACUGGUCCUG